UACGAAGGGGGCUAGCGUUGUUCGGAAUUACUGGGCGUAAAGCGCGUGUAGGCGGGUCUUUAAGUCAGGGGUGAAAUGCCAAGGCUCAACCUUGGAACUGCCUUUGAUACUGGAGAUCUUGAGUCCGAGAGAGGUGAGUGGAAUUGCGAGUGUAGCGGUGAAAUGUGCAGAUAUCGGAGGAACACCAGUAGCGAAGGCGG
rnacentral:rRNA from 1 species